rnacentral:rRNA from 1 species
AUACGGAGGGUGCAAGCGUUAUUCGGAAUCACUGGGCGUAAAGGACACGUAGGCGGGAAGCCAAGUCUGAUGUGAAAUCCUACAGCUUAAUUGUAGAACUGCAUUGGAAACUGGUUACCUAGAGUAUGGGAGGGGGAGAUGGAAUUAGUGGUGUAGGGGUAAAAUCCGUAGAUAUCACUAGGAAUACCUAAAGCGAAGGCGAUCUCCUGGAACAUUACUGACGCUAAGGUGUGAAAGCGUGGGGAGCAAACGGGAUUAGAAACCCUAGUAGUCC